rnacentral:rRNA from 1 species
ACUACGGGAGGCAGCAGUGGGGAAUAUUGGGCAAUGGGCGCAAGCCUGACCCAGCAACGCCGCGUGAAGGAAGAAGGCCUUCGGGUUGUAAACUUCUGUUAAGAGGGAAGAGCAGAAGCCGGUACCUCUUGAAUAAACUACGGCUAACUAGGUCACAGCAGCCGCGGUAAUACGGAGGUGGCAAGCGGUGUACGGAUUUACGGGGGGUAAAGGGCGGGCAGGCGGGAAGACAAGUCAGAGGUGAAAUCCCGCGGCUCAAACGGGGAACUGCCUUUGAAACUGCUUUUCUGGAGUACCGGAGAGGUCAGUGGAAUUCCAGGUGUAGCGGUGAAAUGCGUAGAUAUAAGGAGGAACACCAGUGGCGAAGGCGAAUGACUGGACGGCAACUGACGGUGAGGCGCGAAAGCGUGGGGAGCAAACAGUAUUAGAUACCCCAGUAGUC